rnacentral:rRNA from 1 species
CUAAAUACUACCCAGUGACCGAUAGCGUAUAGUACUGUGAAGGAAAGGUGAAAAGGACCCCGGGAGGGGAGUGAAAGAGAACCUGAAACCUUGUGCCUACAAGCACAUAGAGCACAUCAACGUGUGAUAUGGUACUUUUUGUAGAACGGUCCGGCGAGCGAUUGUAUGUUGCGAGCUUAAGCGCUUAAGGCGCGGAGGCGUAGCGAGAGCGAGUCUGAACAGGGCGUUCAGUAACAUGCAAUGGGCCCGAAACCGGGUGACCUACCCAUGAUCAGGCUGAAGUGAAAGUAAAAUUUCAUGGAGGGCCGAACCGACCUCCGUUGAAAAGGCGGCGGAUGAAUUGUGGGUAGCGGAGAAAUUCCAAUCGAACUCGGAGAUAGCUGGUUCUCCCCGAAAUAGCUUUAGGGCUAGCCUCAUAUUAGAUACCCGGAGGUAAAGCACUGAAUGGCCUAGCGCCCGAGAGGGUAGCGAAGCCUAUCAAACUAAGAAUGCCGGAGUAUUGAUGUAUGGGAGUCAGACAGUGUGAGAUAAAUCUCAUUGUCAAAAGGGAAACAGCCCAGAUCUACAGCUAAGGUCCCAAAUUGUAUCUAAGUGGAAAACGAUGUGGAAAUACGCAGACAACCAGGAUGUUGGCUCAGAAGCAGCCACUCAUUUAAAGAGUGCGUAAUAGCUCACUGGUCGAGCGUCUCUGCGCGGAAAAUUUAACGGGGCUAAGAUACAAACCGAAGCUUAGGCUGCACGAAAGUGCGGGGUAGGGGAGCGUUGUGUAAGCGGAGAAACAGUAGCGUAAGCGGCUGUGGAGUUUACAGAAGUGAGAAUGCCGGAAUGAGUAGCGCGAAUGAUGUGAGAAUCAUCAUGGCCGGAAACCUCAGGUUUUUGGAGGAAGGUUCGUCCGCUCCAAGUUAGUCGGGAGCUAAGGUGAGGCCGGAAGGCGUAGCCGAUGCACAGACGGUAGAGAUUCCGUCACCACCAAAAGAGUUAAGCACAGGGACACAUUUGAAGUCUCAGAGCCGGGUGUUGGUUCCGGUAGAGAUCGAGGGAAGUUAGUACCGAAGUCUGGGAUGGAAGAUGGCGAGAAAAGCUGUGUGUAUUUCUGAGGUGCCCGUACCGCAAACCGACACAGGUAGGUAGGAAGAAGAUUCUAAGGCCAACGGGAGAAGGGUUGUUAAGGAACUCGGCAAAUUGACCCCGUAACUUCGGGAGAAGGGGUGCUCCAGAGAUGGAGCCGCAGAGAAUCGGCCCAAGCAACUGUUUACCAAAAACACAGGUUUGUGCUAAAUCGAAAGAUGACGUAUACGAGCUGACGCCUGCCCGGUGCUGGAAGGUUAAAAGGAGAUGUGCAAGCAUUGAAUUGAAGCCCCAGUGAACGGCGGCCGUAACUAUAACGGUCCUAAGGUAGCGAAAUUCCUUGUCAGGUAAGUUCUGACCCGCAUGAAAGGCGUAAUGAUCUGGGCACUGUCUCAACAGCCCGCCCGGCGAAAUUGUAGUACCGGUGAAGAUGCCG